rnacentral:lncRNA from 1 species
AGCUCAGAUAGCCACCAGAGUCACUCCAGGAGGAACUGUUCUGUGAGUAACCCAGGGAAAGGGGGAAACGAUGUCAAAAGAGGGUGGCUCACCAUCCUGAUUAGUUCAAAAUCUUUUCCUGGGUCAUUGGACUUUAAGAACUAAACCUAGAAGGGAAUCUGUGGCCAACUGGACAUCUGGUCAACCUCCCUAUGUGUUAGAAAUGCUGAGACUAGAUUGAAAUCCUGGUGUACCUGAGCUCAAUGCCCUUGCUCCCCUGCUAGGCAACUGUGCUCAAGCCCCUCCAGCUUCCACACAGCUAGCUCAGGGAAGAGUUUGCUGAAUCUAGAUCUUCCAGUGUUCCAGGUGGAUGUAGUUGGUAUGCUGGAGGUUGGGAGGGGGGUGUUCUUAAGGCCACAGAAAAGUGUGUGGUAUUGGGGUUGGGUUUCAGAAGAUAUUUAGGGACAGGAGAGUCUGGAAAGCCAGGUGUGUUUAACAUAUCCUCUCUCCCACGAAGUAAAACUGGACAGAGCUACUGUUGUGAUUGUGUCCAAAACCAGCAAAGGACAGUUCAAGUGUCAAAUGUGGCUCACUCUCCAAAUGAAGAAUUCAAGAUAUAGAAUAUCUUGGCAUUGAAAUAUACCAGCACAGAGGUUAUCAUUUGGGAAUAGAAGUUAAGUAUACAUGCAUGAAUCAUUGAGCCAUGUCACUGAAUGUGGUGAUCCAAGAUUGUCAUCCCUGCUAUGCAGGAGACUAAAACAGGAAACCAUCUUCAGUGCCUCCUGGUGCUGAAGAGUUAGUUCCCUAGACAAUUGAGUGAGACGGUAUCUCAAAACAAGUGGGAAGCCAGGUGGGUCUUCUAUUAAACCCAUUUCCCUGUAUUCUCAUACUGUGCUGGCAAAUGUAUCAUUAAAGACAAGGGUACAAGGGCAGGCUCACAGGUACAAGAGAUGGCUUAGUUGUCAAAAACACCAGUUGUUCUUGCAGAGGAUCUGGGUUCUGUUCCUAGCACCCAUACAAGGUAGCCCAACUGUAACUCUAGUUCUGGGUGAUACAACACCCUUUUGCCUCUUACAUGCACAUAAGCUCAUGUAGGUACAUGCGUAUGCACACAUACAGACACACACACAUGUAAAAGUAAGUAAAUUAUUUAAGUGAGGAAAUAGCUGGGGAUACUAGAGGUGAAGCUCAGCAGCAUUUGCAUAAGAUGCACGAGGUUCAGAGCUCAUUUCCUAGUGCAAGAGGA